rnacentral:rRNA from 1 species
AAAAACGACUCUCGGCAACGGAUAUCUCGGCUCUUGCAUCGAUGAAGAACGUAGCGAAAUGCGAUACUUGGUGUGAAUUGCAGAAUCCCGUGAACCAUCGAGUCUUUGAACGCAAGUUGCGCCCAAAGCCUUUUGGUUGAGGGCACGCCUGCCUGGGUGUCGUG